rnacentral:lncRNA from 1 species
UCUUCAUGCGUGAUCUUUUUAAAAGUAUUUACAGUUUAAGAAGUUAAAAACUUUUACAUGAAUAUUUUCCAAAAUGCCAGUUUAUUUUUAAGAUAGUCAGAUCGGUUGCACAAAAAAAAAAUAUUAUUCAGAUCUAUGGGCGUGUCCGUGUUGAAUAUGGACCCAAGUGGUGGUAAUCAAAGACGCACAAACUGUAAGAUAUUUUUAUUUGCCUUUUUCUUCUAAUUGCCGGUUUCAAUUUGAUUUGUUUUGUUUAGUCGUUCCUAUAAUGUUUUUUAUGUGUCUUUUCCAUAAUGCUAUAAAAGUGCAAAUGGCGAUCAUAUCGUAGUGUCACAAAUCAUUCGAGUC